rnacentral:rRNA from 1 species
AGCGAACGCUGGCGGCAGGCCUAACACAUGCAAGUCGAACGAUCCUUCGGGAGAGUGGCGGACGAGUGAGUAACACGUGGGAACGUGCCCUUUGGUUCGGAAUAACUCAGGGAAACUUGAGCUAAUACCGGAUGUGCCCUUCGGGGGAAAGAUUUAUCGCCAUUGGAGCGGCCCGCGUUGGAUUGGCUAGUUGGUGGGGUAAAGGCCCACCAAGGCUACGAUCCAUAGCUGGUCUGAGAGGAUGAUCAGCCACACUGGGACUGAGACACGGCCCAGACUCCUACGGGAGGCAGGAGUGGGGAAUCUUGCGCAAUGGGCGAAAGCCUGACGGAGCCAUGCCGCGUGAAUGAUGAAGGUCUUAGGAUUGUAAAAUUCUUUCACCGGGGAAGAUAAUGACGGUACCCGGAGAAGAAGCCCCGGCUAACUUCGUGUCAGCCGCCGCCGUAAAAC